UUGAACGCUGGCGGCAUGCCUUACACAUGCAAGUCGAACGGCAGCACGGGAGCAAUCCUGGUGGCGAGUGGCGAACGGGUGAGUAAUGUAUCGGAACGUACCUUUCAGUGGGGGAUAACGUAGCGAAAGUUACGCUAAUACCGCAUAUUCUCUGAGGAGGAAAGCAGGGGACCUUCGGGCCUUGCGCUGUUAGAGCGGCCGAUAUCAGAUUAGCUAGUUGGUGGGGUAAAAGCUCACCAAGGCGACGAUCUGUAGCGGGUCUGAGAGGACGACCAGCCACACUGGGACUGAGACACGGCCCAGACUCCUACGGGAGGCAGCAGUGGGGAAUUUUGGACAAUGGGCGAAAGCCUGAUCCAGCCAUGCCGCGUGCGGGAAGAAGGCCUUCGGGUUGUAAACCGCUUUUGUCAGGGAAGAAAUCCUUUGAGCUAAUACCUCAGAGGGAUGACGGUACCUGAAGAAUAAGCACCGGCUAACUACGU
rnacentral:rRNA from 1 species